AAGGUACAAUCUAAAAUGCAAGUCGAGCGGAUGAGUGGAGCUCCGUUCCAUGAUUCCCCGGCAGACGGGUGAGUAAUGCCUAUGAAUCUGCCUGGGAGUGGGGGAUGACGAUUCGUACGGAACGCUGAUACCGCAUACGUCCUACGGCAGAAAGCGGGGGAUCUUCAGACCUCACGCUAUCGCAUUAGCAUGUGUCGGAUUAGCUAGAUGGUGGGGUAAUGGCCCACCCUCGCGACGAUCAGUAUCUGGUCUGAGAGGAUGAUCAUGCACACUGACACUGAAACACAGACCAGACUCAUACUGGAGGCAGCAGUGGGGAAUAUUGAACAAUGAGGCGAAAGCCUGAUCCAGACAUGCCGCGUGUGUGAAUAAGGUCUUCGGAUUGUAAAUCACUUUAAGUUGGGAGGAAGGGCAGUGAGUUGAUACCUUGCUGUUUUGACGUUGCCAACACAAUAAGAACCGGCUAACUUCAUGCCAGCGGCCGCGGUAAUACUAAUGGUGCAAGCGUUAAUCGGAAUUACUGGUACUGAAAGCGCGCGUAGGUGGUUCAGCAAUUUGGAUGUGAAAGCCCCGGCCCUCAACCUGGGAAUUGCAUCCAAAACUACUGCAUGCUAGAGUACGGUAGAGGGUGGUGGAAUUUCCUGUGCUAGGCUGGUAGACAAUUGCNNNAUGAUAUAGAGAAUGGAACACCAAUAGGCUGAAGGCGAACCACCUGCACUGAUACUGACACUGACGUGCGGAAGCGUGAGCGAGCAAACNNGAUUAGGAUACCCAUGCUAGGCCACGCCGUACACGAUGUCGACUAGACGUUGAGAUCCUUGCACAUCUGACUGGCGCUACCUAACGCNACACGUCAACUUCANNGGCCAGGACGAGCAGCGACGUUAAGACUCAAACUGAAAUGAAGUGGAGCNGGCCCAGACAGAUGGAGGAGGAGGAUGUAUUUCAAAUCAACGGCGAAGGAANAUUAACCUUGCCCUUGUCUUUGCAA
rnacentral:rRNA from 1 species